rnacentral:rRNA from 1 species
CCUACGGGAGGCAGCAGUGGUGAAUAUUGCACAAUGGGGGAAACCCUGAUGCAGCGACGCCGCGUGAGUGAAGAAGUAAUUCGUUAUGUAAAGCUCUAUCAGCAGGGAAGAAAAUGACGGUACCUGAGUAAGAAGCCCCGGCUAACUACGUGCCAGCAGCCGCGGUAAUACGUAGGGGGCAAGCGUUAUCCGGAUUUACUGGGUGUAAAGGGAGCGUAGACGGUAGUGCAAGUCUGGGGUGAAAGCCGCGGGCUCAACCCACGGACUGCUCUGGAAACUGUACGGCUGGAGUGCGGGAGAGGUAAGUGGAAUUCCAAGUGAAGCAGUGAAAUGCGUAGAUAUAAGGAGGAACACCAGUGGCGAAGGCAGCUUACUGGACUGUAACUGACGUUGAGGGUCGAAAGCGUGGGGAGCAAACAGGAUUAGAUACCCGAGUAGUC